AUGAACGCUGGCGGCGUGCCUAAUACAUGCAAGUCGAGCGAACGGACGAGAAGCUUGCUUUUCUGAUGUUAGCGGCGGGCGGGUGAGUAACACGUGGAUAACCUACCUAUAAGACUGGGAUAACUUCGGGAAACCGGAGCUAAUACCGGAUAAUAUUUUGAACCGCAUGGUUCAAAAGUGAAAGACGGUCUUGCUGUCACUUAUAGAUGGAUCCGCGCUGCAUUAGCUAGUUGGUAAGGUAACGGCUUACCAAGGCAACGAUGCAUAGCCGACCUGAGAGGGUGAUCGGCCACACUGGAACUGAGACACGGUCCAGACUCUACGGGAGGCAGCAGUAGGGAAUCUUCCGCAAUGGGCGAAAGCCUGACGGAGCAACGCCGCGUGAGUGAUGAAGGUCUUCGGAUCGUAAAACUCUGUUAUUAGGGAAGAACAUAUGUGUAAGUAACUGUGCACAUCUUGACGGUACCUAAUCAGAAAGCCACGGCUAACUACGUG
rnacentral:rRNA from 1 species